AGUGAACGCUGGCGGCGUGCUUAACACAUGCAAGUCGAACGGAUGAAAUAAGCUUUGCUUAUUUCGUUAGUGGCGCACGGGUGAGUAAUGUAUAGCUAACCUGCCCUUUAGUGGGGGGACAACAGUUGGAAACGACUGCUAAUACCCCAUAUUCCUUCUUAUCAUAAGGUAAGUUGGGAAAGAUUUAUUGCUAAGGAUGGGGCUUUAUGGUAUCAGGCUAGUUGGUGGGGUAACGGCCUACCAAGGGCUAUGAUUGGUAGGGGAACUGAGAGGUCAAUCCCCCACACUGGCACUGAGAUAC
rnacentral:rRNA from 1 species